UACGUAGGGUGCGAGCUUUAAUCGGAAUUACUGGGCGUAAAGCGUGCGUAGGCGGUUGGCAAAGUCAGCUGUGAAAGCCCCGGGCUUAACCUGGGAAUGGCGGUUGAAACUAGUCGACUCGAAUCUGGCAGAGGGGGGUGGAAUUCCACGUGUAGCAGUGAAAUGCGUAGAGAUGUGGAGGAACACCGAUGGCGAAGGCAGCCCCCUGGGCUGAGAUUGACGCUCAGGCACGAAAGCGUGGGGAGCAAACAGG
rnacentral:rRNA from 1 species